CCUACGGGCGGCAGCAGUAGGGAAUCUUCCACAAUGGGCGAAAGCCUGAUGGAGCAACGCCGCGUGGGUGAAGAAGGUCUUCGGAUCGUAAACCCUGUUGUUAGAGAAGAAAGUGCGUGAGAGUAACUGUUCACGUUUCGACGGUAUCUAACCAGAAAGCCACGGCUAACUACGUGCCAGCAGCCGCGGUAAUACGUAGGUGGCAAGCGUUAUCCGGAUUUAUUGGGGGUAAAGGGAACGCAGGCGGUCUUUUAAGUCUGAUGUGAAAGCCUUCGGCUUAACCGGAGUAGUGCAUUGGAAACUAGGAGACUUGAGUGCAGAAGAGGAGAGUGGAACUCCAUGUGUAGCGGUGAAAUGCGUAGAUAUAUGGAAGAACACCAGUGGCGAAGGCGGCUCUCUGGUCUGUAACUGACGCUGAGGUUCGAAAGCGUGGGUAGCAAACAGGAUUAGAUACCCUUGUAGUC
rnacentral:rRNA from 1 species